AAGGCCAAGGUCCCGACAGACGGAUCGCCU
rnacentral:piRNA from 1 species